rnacentral:misc_RNA from 1 species
CACUUGCUUUCGUCCGCUUACCCAAAUGAUUAGGGAAAGACCAUAAAAUAAGGGUGCGGCAUGUAGGGGAGAAGGAAAGACACGUCUACCGGUGAUGUGGUGUUGAGACACCGUUUGUGUGUAGCUCUCUAUCGACCGAGAUCUGGACGGCCCCCGGAGCAACGUCCCCUCCUAGAGAAACCCCAACCAGUCCCAGAUGCACCGGACGCGGAUUAAGUUGGUGAAAGGUCCCAAGUGGGACUGGACUCACUUCUGGUUUCAGACGUUAAUUACCGAACAACUGUUA